rnacentral:rRNA from 1 species
GAUGAACGCUAGCGGCAGGCCUAAUACAUGCAAGUCGAACGGUGUCUUCGGACAUAGUGGCGCACGGGUGCGUAACACGUAUGCAACCUACCUUACAUUGGGGGAUAGCCUUUCGAAAGGGAGAUUAAUACCGCAUAAGACAGUAGCUGGGCAUCCAGCAGCUGUUAAAGAUUUAUCGAUGUAAGCUGGGCAUGCGUCCAAUUAGCUAGUUGGUGAGGUAACGGCUCACCAAGGCAAUGAUUGGUAGGGGAACUGAGAGGUCAAUCCCCCACACUGGCACUGAGAUAGGGGCCAGACUCCUACGGGAGGCAGCAGUAGGGAAUAUUGGGCAAUGGACGCAAGUCUGACCCCGCCAUGCCGCGUGCAGGAUGAAGGCGUUAUGCGUUGUAAACUGCUUUUAUACAGGAAGAAACGACUCUUGCGAGAGGGAUUGACGGUACUGUAUGAAUAAGCACCGGCUAACUCCGUGCCAGCCGCCGCGGUAACAC